GGGGGCGACAUGGCUUCGACGGGGGUUGCGAAGCGGAUGAGGGCAUGCCGGGAUCUCAGUCACCCCGUAAAACACUGAACAGAAAUAGUCGCAAACGACGAAACUUACGCACUGGCUGCUUAAUCCAGCCGGUCGCUGCACACACUGGCCUGUCGGUGUGGCAGGGUAACCUGCAGCAGCGUCAUUCUCAGCAGGAUCGCGUACGGUCGGGUCACUUGAUCGGACGCUAAACUUAAGGUGACUCGUUGCUGUCAAGCCUGUCGGUCGGCGUGCCAGCACCUAAACUCAAGUUGGCCAGACUAAGCAUGUAGAACUCACUGUAGAGGACUUCCGGACGCGGGUUCGAUCCCCGCCGCCUCCACCA
rnacentral:tmRNA from 1 species